rnacentral:tRNA from 1 species
GAGGUCGGCGGUGAGCGGGUUGUCCUCCGUCUGCUCGAAGCAGUUGACCCCGACGAUCUUGUCCUCGCCGGCCUCG